CAGCUGCGUGAAUUAAUGUGAAUUGCAGGACACAUUGAACAUCGAUAUCUUGAACGCAUAUUGCGGCCUCGGGCAUUCCCGAGGCCACGCCUGUCUCAGGGUCGGUUGAAAGUCAAUCGCGAUCCAGCUCGGCGUAGCCUGCGUCGCUCUGAUAUCGCGCAAUGAGCGUCUAAGCCGCUGACGUCGACGGUCCGCCGCCGUUACGCUUCGUCGCUUUAAGGUCCGACUUGUUGCUUGCUCGUCGUCGACUGUAGCCUUGUUGACGCCUGGACGACAACUCUACUCUAUGCCUGGAGCAGUAUCGUCGUCUUCGGCAACGCACGGGCUACGGUCGACUUAAGCAACGCCGCUGCUUCGGCAGCAUCGACUAUUCGACCUGAGAUCAGACGAGAUUACCCGC
rnacentral:misc_RNA from 1 species